GACGAACGCUGGCGGCGUGCUUAACACAUGCAAGUCGAACGGAAAGGCCUGCUUUCCCUUGUGGAUUGCGGGUACUCGAGUGGCGAACGGGUGAGUAACACGUGAGUGAUCUGCCCCCAACUUGGGUAUAAGCCUGGGAAACUGGGUCUAAUUCCCGAUAGGACUGCAGGGUGGUGCCUGUGGUGGAAAACGAUUUUCUAGUGGUUGGGGAUGAGCUCGCGGCCUAUCAGCUUGUUGGUGGGGUAAUGGCCUACCAAGGCGGCGCCGGGUAGCCGGCCUGGGAGGGUGGACGGCCACAUUGGGACUGAGAUACGGCCCAGACUCCUACGGGAGGCAGCAGUGGGGAAUAUUGCACAAUGGGCGGAAGCCUGAUGCAGCGACGCCGCGUGGGGGAUGACGGCCUUCGGGUUGUAAACUCCUUUCGACCGCGAGGAAGCCACCUGGUUGGAAGGGUGGUGACGGUAGUGGUAGAAGAAGCACCGGCUAACUACGUG
rnacentral:rRNA from 1 species